AUAAUAAACAGUUAAUUCCACCAUUAUUAACAAUAUAUUUUCUCCCGGAGAUAUCUCCACCACAAAAUCGAAACUAAAUUCUUAUCUUCAAAAGCCAAAAUAUAAUAUUCAAUACACCAUCGAUUAAACAUUCAUUAUUUAUAGCUACUACAAACUAAAGCAAUUUUGCAGCUCCUGGUAUUAGUCCCCACAUCGAACACUUUCACAAAAUUCUCCUUCAAUUUUGUAACACCCCUCUUUACCUUAAAUAAUUCAUAGUAUUCAAUUAAUGUUUUUACACGAGUAUAAAAUAAUAAUUUGUGAAAAGCCCCUGUCCUCCACUUACACACACAAAAGACACUUACUCUCUUACACUUUAGGGAGAAAAGAAAACAAAAACGCUUUUUCACAAAAACAAAGAAAAGAAGCAUAGAAGGAAAGAAAAUGGGCACAUAUGAGGGAAAGGAGAAGAAGAAAGGAAAAAGCUUGUCUAAAUUAAAGGGAAGAUGAGAAAGAUUAGGAGUAAAAUACUUCUUGUUAGAGGCUAAGGAAGAAAAGGCACAAAAUCACCAUCUUCUUCAUCUCCAUUUUUCUGAAAAUAAUCUCAAAGAUGCCUAGCACUGUACAAAGACGCAUGACGUCUUGCGAGUCACAUAUCUAGCGCCUAGCGCACUGGCUCUAGGCGCCUAACGCUAUCUAGGAUGCUUCCAAGGGGCCCUUGGUGCAAGAGGGGCUGUCAUAAUUGAUGUUUUUGACCUCAUUUGAUGUAUACUUCUAUUUCUAUUCUUUUUUCGUGUACUAUUAAUGUAAUUACAUUCAUGAUUUAUAUUAUAUACAUUGCCACUUGAUAGGAUUGAUUAUUAUGAUUGCAGUAAAUAGUAUAUACAUGUUCUUUGUUGAAUGUUCACUCGUAUGACUUGUGUGAUUGAAGAAGUUAUGACACAUGUGUACAAACAAAACAUAUUUACACGUAUAAAUAGAUGUAUGUUUAGAUGAGAAUCAUAUGAAUCAUCCUAGUUAGAUAAAUUCUUUUUCAAAAUAUGAGGACAUAUAAGUGAGAGCAAGUAGGUCGCUGCAUACAAACCUAAUUAUGUGAAAUCUUACUAAACUAAUAAGUUUUUAGCAUUAGAGAAACCUUUUGUAGUCAUUAUGAAGUCCUUGUGAGUCUAGGGUUUACGUCAUUAUAUUACUCACACUUAAUGACUUAGACAUAUAAUUAUAACUAAGAUUAGAUAUGGAAUAAAUAGUUAAUAAUAGACUACAAAGAAAGUGAAUUAGAAGAUAAGUAUACUUUGUAAUAGAUUGUUGACUAGUUUAUGAUAUUGUUACGCUUUUCUAGAUAAAUAGCUUAUGGCUUUACAUGUAUAAACUAUAUUCACCAAGUUAAUUACAAAAAAUUACCAAACUAUAUUAAAUAAAUAGAAAUCGUGGGUCGCAAUUAUUUUUUUUAAUAUGAAAAAUAAAUAUUUUAUUUUAUUUUUAGAAUGUUAAACAAACAGCAAUGUCGUGGUUUCUAGAACACCUCAAGAGUCCCAAGUCCAAAACUACAAAGCAAGAUUGUUAUAGAUACAUAUUCAAAAAAUAAUCAAUUAUUAAAAACAUAUAAUGCAAACUAAUUUUAACUUAAUUGGUGGGGUGCGCCAAGCCAAUGCAGUAGUGCAACACAAAAGCGACACUCAAGAGACCUAAUAGCAAGCUAUUGUGGUGGACUCUUCCCCUCAAGAAAUAAAUUUAAUAUCAUGUGAACCAUUGGCCCACAUAUCAGAUAUUAAACUGAUAAGAACAGAUACUACACUUGAUCUUAGCCAAAAGGCCGAGAAAGGUAUGUUUUGUUUAGAGAAUGAACUCUUAUUUUAUAGCCAAGACCUUGGUACUUGAUAUGUCUUCUAGCCAAUGUGGGACAUAAUCAUUAGUGGUAUAAUAUUUCUUUCUUUCUCAACUCUAAUGCAACAAUCAUCCAAGUCUCUAACAAAUCUCUCUUCAAACAUUGGAUAGUGAAUUACUAAUGCAUCUAACCACAUUUAACAAAUUUACGGUGAUGGCCACAUAAAAUGCACUCAAGAAACUUCAAGGGAGGUUGCCACAUGAUUCAUAUCAAAGAGGGUACAAUCCAACGAAUGUAAGAGUGUAAGGUCCUAUAAGUACACUCACCUUCAAAAAAUGAGAUAGAAAAACAUGUGGUUGAAAUGUUGAGUUAGGGUACAAUAAAACCCAACAAUAGUCAUUACUUAAGCUCAAUGAUAUUGGUAAAGAAAAAUGAUGGGAGUUAAAAGUUUUAUAUGGAUUAUAAGACUUUCAACAUUGAACAAGGUUAUUGUGUUGGACAAAUUCUCCAUUCCAAUGAUCGAAGAGUUGUUGGAUGAAAUACAUGAGCAAAAUACUUUUCUAGAAUAUACUUAGAGCAAUUAAGCUAAACAAGUAACAAAAUGAAGACAAAAUAAAGAUUUGUAAUAUGAAAUUUCAUAUAUGAUUAAAACAAAACUACAAAAACCGAAUCAAGACUUCUCAUUAAAAUCACUUGUAUAUCUUGAGAGAGAUAAAAACAUUAAAAAAUAAUUAGUAAGUGGACAAGAUGGGAAAUAGCACAAUUUCACACCAGAAAAAUCAGUUCCCAGUGAACUUAGAACAAUUUCACAUUGGCACAAUUCAUGGAAGCAGUGAAUCGAAGCUUUCACACUUCAAUACUUUAUAAUAUCAAUAACGAAAAUAUUCAACACUAAGAAAACACUGCUCGAAUAAAAAUUGAAACUAUUCUUGAUGGGGUGCGCCAAGCCCAUGUUGUAGUGCAACACAUAGACGACGCUCAAGAGGCCCAAUAGCAAGCUAAUGUAGUGGCCUCUUACCCUCAACAAAUUAAUUUAAUAUCGUGUGGUCCAAUGGACCACAUAUCA